rnacentral:rRNA from 1 species
GCUGGCGGCGUACUUAACACAUGCAAGUCGAACGAGAAUCGCCUGUGUAGCAAUACAUAGGUGGUUCUAGUGGCGCACGGGUGAGUAACACGUGGGCAACCUGCCCUUGAGUCCGGGAUACCCUCUCGAAAGGGAGGCUAAUACUGGAUACGUUCCUUGGGUCGCAAGAUCUGGGGAGGAAAGGUGGCGAAAGCUGCCGCUUUUGGAGGGGCUCGCGGCCUAUCAGCUAGUUGGUGAGGUAACGGCUCACCAAGGCUAUGACGGGUAGCUGGUCUGAGAGGACGACCAGCCACACGGGAACUGAGACACGGUCCCGACUCCUACGGGAGGCAGCAGUGGGGAAUUUUCCGCAAUGGGCGAAAGCCUGACGGAGUGACGCCGCGUGGGGGACGAAGGCCUUCGGGUCGUAAACCCCUGUCAGAGGGAAAGA